UUUUUGGAAACUAAUGAUGCAAUGAAUGAAUGGUGUCAACUUAAAAAGACCAGUAAUUGUUAUGUAUGUAGUACAACAAAACAAAAAAGGGAUGUUUUGUUAAAACAACUGAAAAAUGUAUGUGUUGUCACAAGGACUAGUUAUUUCCCUAGCCCCCCCAGCAAAACUGUGAAAUCUCCACAAAAGCUGUUAACAGAAUGGAGAUUGCCCCCAAGGCUCUCUUUUGAUAGUGACUUGGAAUCCACGUUAACUGAAACAAAAACUCAAAUAGAAAAUUCUCGGCAAUUGUUGAAAAGUUUUAGUAGGGAUCAAGAAAAUGAAGAUAUUAAUAUAAUGAAAGAAAUGCUUAGAAAUCAGACUGAUUUGUUGGAUAGAACCCAUAAAACCCUGUCUCACAUGUCUAAAGAAUUAGACAUAAAUGUUACUAAUUUUGACAAUUUGCAGAGACAGAUUACUAAUCUGGGUAGUGCUACAGAUAUUUUGUGGAAAGCUACAAAUCAGAAAGAUUUGGAUUUUACUUUGAAAGUGAAAGUGAAAAUGAAAUAGCUCAAAGGUUAAGUUGUGAAAACGGGCAGGCGAGAAGUGAAAUAGAAAAUAAAUUGGGAAAUGUACAAGGAAAGGGUCAGUUGGAUAUUCUCAAAUUGGCUAAAUUGAUUAAGGAUUUGCCUAAAUAUGAUGAAAAGAGAGGACCUUUUUACAAUAUGAGUGUUUUUGAAGGUGAAAUGAAUAAAAGACAAUUUGAUGAUGUGGUAGCCACAAGAGGUCUUUUGAUCUGGCUGCCAACUUCAUUAAGUGAAUGGGUUAAAGUUAAACUCAUUGAUGUGUUGGAAGGGAAGUCAAGUGAAAAGCCCCGAGUUGAGUUGGAGGAAUUGUUUCCAAAUAAUACACAGAGAUUGCUAAUGGUGGUACAGUGUGCAACUGGUGUGGAGAAUUUUCAAUUUUCUACUCUUGAUUCAUUUAAAAUGGAAAAAAAUGAUGAUAUACGUGUUUGUGCUAAUUUGUGGAAUAAGGCAUGGAAUUUGAUUACUGAUACAGAACCAUCUGCUAUGUCUAAAGAACAACAUAAGCAGAGUGUUACUGAAUUUGUCUCUAGAAUAGCAGGGUUGCCAAAUGAGAUAAAAUUAAGAGCUUUUGAUUCA